rnacentral:lncRNA from 1 species
UAUAAUUAGUUAGUUUUGUUGGAUACGAAGCGUACACAAGAAUUCUUUUUAUGCGCAGUCGCAGAACCCAAUGUUGACCAUAAAACGUUGAUUUUGCCUGCGAGAUAUUUAUUUCGAUUCUAUAACUCGCAAAGGUCGGCACGUGCAACUGUUGCAUUUAGAAAAAACAUUUCAGUAUGUUUCAUAGAGUACUCGUGAAAGGAUCUUUAUAGAUAACGAUCUUCGUAUCCAUUUGUAAAGUGUUUUUAACGAUUUUCGUGAAUCGCGAGUGAUUUAACGAAUGGUUUUUUUUAUUUUAUAAAUGAGCUCAACUAUUUAAACGCAAAUUUUAAUGUUAAACUGUGAUCGUGAGUGAGUCACGAUUAGAUUAUUUAUUUUAUAGAAAGAUUAGAUUCUUCGUGUCGGAUAUUUUUGUAUUAUUUUGUUAUUAGUUUCAAUCGUUCAUUUCACACCUGGAUGGAGUAUUAAUAAAAAAUAACAAAGUGAUAUCUUGCUUGCAACAGAUGGAUUUGCGAUAAGCGAACUAUAGAAUUGAUCGAAUCUUUGUCGAGUUUAUACGAACAAAAGUAAAAUACUGAAUUUGCUUGAAGAAGAAGAAGAUAAAGAAAAAAGAAACUAAAAUAAGAUUGUUAUCAAAAAGAUACUGUGGUUGGAUUAUCGAAAUACGAAGGUUCAUAUUACGGUUACUUCGAAUGUGUAAUCAGAAGAUUAAAA